AUUGAACGCUGGCGGCAGGCCUAACACAUGCAAGUCGAGCGAGCGGCGGACGGGUGAGAAAUGUCUGGGAAACUGCCUGAUGGAGGGGGAUAACUACUGGAAACGGUAGCUAAUACCGCAUACCCUCAGAUGUGCCCAGAUGGGAUUAGCUAGUAGGGGGGGUAAUGGCUCACAUAGGCGACGAUCCCUAGCUGGUCUGAGAGGAUGACCAUCCACACUGGAACUGAGACACGGUCCAGACUCCUACGGGAGGCAUCAGUGGGGAAGAUUGCACAAUGGGCGCAAGCCUGAUGCAGCCAUGCCGCGUGUAUUAAGAAGGCCUUCGGGUUGUAAAGUACUUUCAGCGGGGAGGCGUUACCCGCAGAAGAAGCACCGGCUAACUCCGUGCCAGCAGCCGCGGUAAUAC
rnacentral:rRNA from 1 species